GACGAACGCUGGCGGCGUGCUUAACACAUGCAAGUCGAACGGAAAGGCCCUGCGUUUGUGGGGUGCUCGAGUGGCGAACGGGUGAGUAACACGUGAGUAACCUGCCCUUGACUUUGGGAUAACUUCAGGAAACUGGGGCUAAUACCGGAUAGGAGCUCCUGCUGCAUGGUGGGGGUUGGAAAGUUUCGGCGGUUGGGGAUGGACUCGCGGCUUAUGAGCUUGAUGGUGUGGUAGUGGCUUACCAAGGGUUUGACGGGUAGCCGGCAUAAGAGCUGGGACGGCGUCCAUGGGACUACGAGACGCACCAGAAGGCUACGGUAGGCAGCAGUCGGAAAUCUUGCGGAAUGGGGGGAAGCCUGAUAUGGAAACGCCGGGUGCGGGAUGCCCGGUUUCGGGUUGUAAACCGCUUUCGACUGAGACGAAGCGUGAGUGACGGUACUGGGUAAAGAAGCACCGGCUAACUACGUG
rnacentral:rRNA from 1 species